UGGGGAAUUUUGGACAAUGGGCGAAAGCCUGAUCCAGCAAUGCCGCGUGUGUGAAGAAGGCCUUCGGGUUGUAAAGCACUUUUGUCCGGAAAGAAAUCCUUGGCUCUAAUACAGUCGGGGGAUGACGGUACCGGAAGAAUAAGCACCGGCUAACUACGUGCCAGCAGCCGCGGUAAUACGUAGGGUGCAAGCGUUAAUCGGAAUUACUGGGCGUAAAGCGUGCGCAGGCGGUUUGCUAAGACCGAUGUGAAAAUCCCCGGGCGUCAACCUAGGGCAACUGGCAAUUGGUGGAUGCUGGGCAGGCUAGAAGUAUGGCAGAGGGGGGUGAGAAUUCCACGUGUAGCAGUGAAAAUGCGUAGAGAUGUGGAGGAAAUACCGAUGGCGAAAGGCAGCCCCCCGGCCAAGUCAAUACUGACGCUCAUGCACGAAAAGCG
rnacentral:rRNA from 1 species